rnacentral:rRNA from 1 species
AGAAUCAACGCUGGCGGCGUGCCUAACACAUGCAAGUCGAACGAGAAAGGGUAGCAAUACCUGAGUACAGUGGCGCACGGGUGAGUAACACGUGACUAACCUACCCUUGAGUGGGGGAUAACUGAGGGAACCUUAGCUAAUACCGCAUAAUACCUACGGGUCAAAGGAGCAAUUCGCUUUAGGAGGGGGUCGCGGUCGAUUAGUUAGUUGGCGGGGUAAUGGCCCACCAAGACUGUGAUCGAUA